UCUCGCUCGAUUUACGGUAUUCUGGGCACAUCGUCUCUAUACAAUUAGCAGUCAAAUUAGUGGUAACAAACUGAAUUUAAAAAUAAAUAAUUUAAUUAUUAAAUUCUAAAAAAAGUUUGGAUGUGUAACUUGAUAUGCCGGAUCCUCGUAAUGCCGGCAUACGAAAGCCCAAUCAUCCAUAGUGAUGCUGUCAUAUGGCCGCUGUCGCAC
rnacentral:lncRNA from 1 species